GAUGAACGCUGGCGGCGUGCCUAAUACAUGCAAGUCGAGCGAACAGACGAGGAGCUUGCUCCUCUGACGUUAGCGGCGGACGGGUGAGUAACACGUGGAUAACCUACCUAUAAGCCUGGGAUAACUUCGGGAAACCGGAGCUAAUACCGGAUAAUAUAUUGAACCGCAUGGUUCAAUAGUGAAAGACGGUUUUGCUGUCCCUUAUAGAUGGAUCCGCGCCGCAUUAGCUAGUUGGUAAGGUAACGGCUUACCAAGGCAACGAUGCGUAGCCGACCUGAGAGGGUGAUCGGCCACACUGGAACUGAGACACGGUCCAGACUCCUACGGGAGGCAGCAGUAGGGAAUCUUCCGCAAUGGGCGAAAGCCUGACGGAGCAACGCCGCGUGAGUGAUGAAGGUCUUCGGAUCGUAAAACUCUGUUAUUAGGGAAGAACAAAUGUGUAAGUAACUAUGCACGUCUUGACGGUACCUAAUCAGAAAGCCACGGCUAACUACGUG
rnacentral:rRNA from 1 species